rnacentral:rRNA from 1 species
GAUGAACGCUGGCGGCGUGCCUAAUACAUGCAAGUCGAGCGAACGGACGAGAAGCUUGCUUCUCUGAUGUUAGCGGCGGACGGGUGAGUAACACGUGGAUAACCUACCUAUAAGACUGGGAUAACUUCGGGAAACCGGAGCUAAUACCGGAUAAUAUUUUGAACCGCAUGGUUCAAAAGUGAAAGACGGUCUUGCUGUCACUUAUAGAUGGAUCCGCGCUGCAUUAGCUAGUUGGUAAGGUAACGGCUUACCAAGGCAACGAUGCAUAGCCGACCUGAGAGGGUGAUGGCCCACACUGGAACUGGGACACGGGCCGGACUCCUACGGGAGGCAGCAGUAGGGAAUCUUCCGCAGUGGGCGGAAGCCUGACGGAGCAGCGCCGAGUGAGUGAUGAAGGUCUUCGGAUCGUAAAGCUCUGUUAUUGGGGAAGAACAUAUGUGUAAGUAACUGUGCACAUCUUGACGGUACCUAGUCAGAAAGCCACGGCUAACUACGUG